rnacentral:rRNA from 1 species
AUACGUAGGGGGCGAGCGUUGUCCGGAAUGAUUGGGCGUAAAGGGCGCGUAGGCGGCCCGGUAAGUCUGGAGUGAAAGUCCUGUUUUUAAGAUGGGAAUUGCUUUGGAUACUGUCGGGCUUGAGUGCAGGAGAAGUAAGUGGAAUUCCCAGUGAAGCGGUGAAAUGGGUAGAGAUUGGGAGGAACACCAGUGGCGAAGGCGACUUACUGGGCCGUAACUGACGCUGAGGCGCGAAAGCGUGGGGAGCGAACAGGAUUAGAUACCCUGGUAGUCCACGCGGUAAACGAUGAAUGCUAGGUGUUGCGGGUAUCGAUCCCUGCAGUGCCGGAGUAAACACAAUAAGCAUUCCGCCUGGGGAGUACGGCCGCAAGGUUGAAACUUAAAUGAAUGGGCGGGG